AAAUAUGCCAAAACUUCAAAUAUUAAACUCCGUACAUCAUCAGUUUCAUUAGUUCAGUUCUUCCCUUUCCUCUGUCCCCUAUUUGUACCAGAGCUUGCGAAAGCCAUUGAAGAGCUAUAGUUUUUGCGUGUUUUUGGCCAAUUGUGUUUCUUUAUACAAUAUCUAAAUCCAAGUUUUUCCUUUCUCAAUAUUACUUUCUAGUUUGUAAUUUUGUCAAACCCUAAUUUGUUUGUUAAUUUCAUUGGUGGUCCGGCGGUGGUUAAGGGAGGCGAUAACAACGGCUUCAACGCAUCCUCUUAACGGGAGCUUAGGAGCUUCAAAGAAGAUCUGAACAUUAGUGUUUCUUGAUCAAGCUACCAAUAUUCAGGAAAAUGUCAAUCAUUCCAACUUCAUCAGAACAAGAUCAACAAGAAAAUGAGAUUCAACAACCACCACCAAGGUUGACUUAUCGUGAAAAGCGAAGGAUUGACCAAGCUGAGCUUCGACAAAAAUUCCCUGAUCGUAAGAGGCGUGGCCCUACUAGGGGUUUAAAAUAUGCUUCCAAAAGAGCAAGAAAUCCAGAAGAAAAGAUUACGUUAACUUUUAUGGAUGAGCUUUGACGUGUGGUUGGUGAAAAGGCAAAUGAGUUCAUAUGUGAUUGUAGCAAUUGGGUGGAAGAGUUUUGUCCUUUGAAUGCAUUGAAUUGGGCUAAAAUGGAUCCUGAUGCGAAGAAAAGUUUAUAUGACAAGAUUUUGAUGAUUUACUAGGCAAAAUUCAAUUUACGUGAAAAGAUUGGUGGUGCGGACGCGACUGAUGCAUUGAGCUUUCAAUAGUAUAUAUUAUAUAGGCAUUGGAGGUUUAGACUCAAAGAAAAAUACUAUAGAGGCAAAAUAAAGGCAGAGGCUAGAGACAAUAGACAAUAGACCUUCAACUAUUGAUCCGAUAAAGUGGGAUUGGUUUGUUUAUGAGUAUUGGAGUUCCCCAAAACAAGAGGCCAUUAGCAAAGUGAACACAACAAAUAAACUGAAGUUAACUGAAACACCAGCUAAUGGUGCAAAGUCCACAUCAAGAAUUUUCUAUGAUAUGAUUAACGAGCCACCAAUUGUUGCCAAUCAAGUCGAAGGGUCAUCUGAACAUGCUGAAGUGCAACAAGAUCCCAUCUAUGUGAGAUUAUAUGAGAAGACAAGGAAAUUGCCCAGGAAUAUUAUUGUUGUUCUGUCUUUCAUGUUACUAUUUAAAUAGUUAUGCCUACAUUAGCCUUAUCUCAUACUUAAUAUGCAUAAUUUUUUGAACUGAUUUCAUUGAAUAGGCAUAUAAAAAAGGAUGGAAGUACUAUGUGGGAACCAAAUGCUGAAAAGAACUAUGAAGAACUCAAAAGGCUUCACGAAACUGAAAUCGCAGAACAUGGUGAGGACACACUGAGUGUAAAAGAUGCUUAUAUGCAGGUAUUAAAACCUAAAUCUGGAUAUGUGAGAGGACUUUGUCCUGGAGCUUGACCACCUAAAAAGUUAGAAUCCAAGGAGAUGAUAUGGAUAGGGUUCAACUCUCUACUCAAGUUCACACACUAAAUGCGUCAAAUGAAGACCUUAGAGCAUCUAAUGAACAACUUAAAGCAUCAAAUGAGGAGCUCAAAGCAGAAUUUUCAAGAAUCAACAAGGAAGCCAUUGAACGUGAAAAUAAACUAAGAGAAGAUAUGCUAAAAAUGUUUGAGGAAAUGAGGAGACUUAACUGUUUCUCGUUUAUAUGUACUGUGAUCAAAUUUGGGUUGUUGCCGCAACGCUGCUCGAUGUUGCUGCAAUGCUUCUGCAACGAUGUGGGGCUUCCGCAACACAACUGUUUGUGGUGCUGCCGCAAUGCAGCAGUUGCUGCUGUGGUGCUGCCGCAACGCUGCUGUUGCAGCUGCAGUGCUGCCGGAACGCUGCUGUAGGUGCUGCACUGCUGCCGCAACGCUGCUGUUGCUGCUGCACUGCUGCCGCAACGCUGCUGUUGCUGCUGCACUGCUGCCCCAACUCUGCUGUUGCUGCUGCACUGCUGCCACAACUCUGCUGUUGUAGUUUUAGGAGCUUUUUCCACGUGCAGCAGUGUAUUCACUAAGCUUGAUAUGUGUAUAUCUGAUAUGUAGAUGAUUUACAUUGCAAGUGUAGGAAGCAUACAUUAUUAUUAAUGUCAAAUUUGUCUAAUUGACAAAGAACAAACAUGCAUUACAUUUCAAACCAUUUAGCGUUCAUUAGAAAAAAA